UAGUUAACUUUGAAAGUCGGGAGUUUUCUUCGGAUCGAAUGUCCUUGAUUUUAACAAAAGAGACGUAAGCCGUAUCCUUGAGGUAUGUGCUUCCAAUUGUCCGGAGAAAUACUUGGGCCUUCCUUCUAUUAUUGGCCGAAAUAAGAGGAAAGCUUUUUCUGCACUCCUCGAUAAGUUUGAAGGAAAAUUAAUAGCUGGAACACUCGAAAACUGUCGAUGGGGGUAAGCAGAUGUUUAUAAAAUCUAUUCUUCAAUCAUUUGCCCACUUUUGCUAUCUCAUGCUUCUUGUUUUCGAAAACUCUUUGCAAGAAGUUUAAAGCAAUCAUGGCUCGCCUCUGGUGGUCUCACAAGUCACAAGUCAAACAAGAGAGGCAUUCAUUGGUGUACGUGGUCAAGCUUAAGUCGGUUGAAAGAGGAAGGAGUGGCUCGAGUGUUUCGAGCUAAGUACUACUCGACCACCACAUUUUCAGGGGCUAGGUUGGGCACAAACCCGUCGAUGAUAUGGCAUAGUGUGUGGUGCUAGAGGGCUGGCUUGUGUUGGAGGAUGGGCACUGGUACUUCGGUGUCGAUAUGGAACGAUUUUGGUUACCAGGACAAGACCAGAAGAAAAUUUCUACAGCACCACUGGGGGUUUGAAUGUAGUGGCUUUAAUAAAACCAAAUGAAAGAUCUUGGAAUGUGGAGCUAAUAGAGGCUACGAUUACCACUGAGGAGGCUCAAGUAUCUUGAAAAUUCGCAAUCCUAAUACUGUUAUCGCGGAUAAGCAAGCUUGGAGUGGGGGAAAAAAGGUCUAUACGCUGUCCGAGUGGCUACAAGUUUAUCUUGGAAUCCCAUACGACUAAUCCCGAGACAAAAGCACUAUCAGAAACUCUGGCAACUUGAUUGUCCUAAUAAGGACAAUCUAAAUGCGAAAGGCUGCAACCCCAAGAAGAAGAAAAUAGGGCAUGAUCGAUUCCAA